CACAGAUUCAUGAUCAUCUUCGUUUUCCUCAUUCAAACUGGCAUCUGGAUCAAAACUGUUCGGCUUGAUUUCUUAAAGAAACAUAUUUUCGUUUCAAGAAGAGGAAUUUGGAGCACUGAGCAACAGUUCAGCUCUUUAGGCUGUUCGACUUCCUUCAGAGAAGACGAGAAACUGAAUCAAAAUGGAAAAAAAAUACAGGGUUGUAGUUCAGAGUUUAAGAGGAGAAAUGAUGGAAAUCAAUCUGUGUGAUACUGAGGAAGAGAUGCAGAAAAUCACAGUUCUACAGCUGAAGGAGAAGAUAGAUCAACAACUUUGUCAAUUUGAUGGAGGUAAGAAAAGAAGAAGAAACAGACAAGAAAUAU